rnacentral:rRNA from 1 species
AGCGAACGCUGGCGGCAGGCCUAACACAUGCAAGUCGAACGAACCUUUCGGGGUUAGUGGCGGACGGGUGAGAAACACGUGGGAACGUGCCUUUAGGUUCGGAAUAACUCAGGGAAACUUGUGCUAAUACCGAAUGUGCCCUUCGGGGGAAAGAUUUAUCGCCUUUAGAGCGGCCCGCGUCUGAUUAGCUAGUUGGUUGGGGUAAUGGCUCACCAAGGCGACGAUCAGUAGCUGGUCUGAGAGGAUGAUCAGCCACAUUGGGACUGAGACACGGCCCAAACUCCUACGGGAGGCAGCAGUGGGGAAUCUUGCGCAAUGGGCGAAAGCCUGACGCAGCCAUGCCGCGUGAAUGAUGAAGGUCUUAGGAUUGUAAAAUUCUUUCACCGGGGACGAUAAUGACGGUACCCGGAGAAGAAGCCCCGGCUAACUUCGUG